rnacentral:pre_miRNA from 1 species
UGCAGCGUGUAAGGUGUUUAUAAGCCAUUUAAGAAACGCACAAAAACCGUUAGAUUCAUUUCAACAUUUAAGUUUAAUUUGCCAAAAUAUUUUCGAAAAUAUUUUGGCAAAUUAAAUUUAAAUGUUGAAGUGAAUCUAACGGUUUUUGUAUGUUUCUUAAAUGGCUUAUAAACACCUUCCAUGCUGCA